CAAAUAUUGAUUUAAAGCUUUAUAACUCAUGCUCAUCUUAAUCAUACUUCCAGUUUCAGAGAAAAUGUACAUUACCACGUGCCUCUAAUGUUAUAAAUCACAAUGAUUGAUUAUUUUAUAUCAAUUUGAAAUGAGUUUUUGUUGUGUAAUUUGUUUUACUGAACGUUACCUCUUAUUUUGUUGCAGCAAAAUAAAUUUUGGAAGAUGUGGAUGGCAAAUUUAUGGUAGGAUCCGAUAACGAGAACGUUAUGGACAAUAUGAACAUAGUGGAAGAUGAAAAAUUAGGACGAGAUGGUGCGAUUGUUCCCGAGGUGGGUAUGAAGUUUAAGGAUGAAAAAGAAAUGUUUGAGUUUUACAAAAGAUAUGCUUAUAACGUAGGUUUCCCAGUUAGAAAGAGAAAUUCCAAGAAGGGGGAUGAUGGAGUUGUGAGGUAUGUUACAUUUACAUGUAGCCAUGAAGGUCGAAGAAGCAUUAAGAAGCCUCAAGCAACCAUUCCUACAGGUUGUAAAGCUAGGCUGGCUGCAUCUGCAGAUAUUGAUGGAACUUGGAAAAUUACUGUAAUCCAUCUUGACCACAAUCAUAAAAUAAGUUCUUUCAAGUCCAGGUUGUAUCGAUGCAACCGAGAGCUGAGUGCACAUCUGAAACGAAGGCCUGAAGUGUAUGAUAUGACAAAAAAUCCAUUGCACAAAAGUUGCACUUCUGUAGUUCUUGAAGCAGGUGGAGGUGAAAAUAUGACUUAUGUGAAAAAGGAUUGUCGAAACUAUAUUGAACAAGUGAGGCAGUUACGAAUUGGAGAAGGAGAUGCUGCAGCAAUACAGUCCUACUUUUCAAAAAUACAAGCACAGUGCUCAGAAUUUUAUUUUAGCAUGGAUUUGGAUGAGGAGUCGCGGCUAAAAAAUGUAUUUUGGGCAGAUAAUAGGAGCAGACAAGCAUAUAAAGAGUUUGGCGAUGUUGUUACAUUUGAUACCACUUAUCUCACUAAUAAGUACGACACGCCUUUCGUCCCUUUUGUUGGAGUGAAUCACCACGGGCAAUCAAUACUGCUUGGAUGUGGUUUGGUAUCGAAUGAGGAUACAGAUACUUUUGUGUGGUUGUUUAAGACAUGGCUACAGUGUAUGCACGGUCAAGCCCCCCAUGGAAUAAUUACCAAUCAAGAUAGGACUAUGCAAAAUGCAAUUCAGAUCGUGUUUCCGAAUUCGAAGCAUAGAUGGUGUUUAUGGCACAUAUUGAAGAAGUGGUCAGAAAAGUUUGGCUACCACGUGGAUAAGAGUUCGAUAUUUUCGGUUAUGCACGUAUUGGUGUAUGAUUCACAAACUGUUGAAGAAUUUGAAGAAGGUUGGAGAGCGAUGAUUGAUACGUAUGACUUGCAUAACAAUGUUUGGUUGUCGGGAUUGUACGAGAAUCGAGAUCGUUGGGUUCCUUGCUUUUCAAAAACCACUUUUUGGCCAGGAAUGUCAACAACACAAAGCAGUGAGAGUAUGACUUCGUUCUUUGAUGGAUAUUUGCAUCCAAAGACCUCGUUGAAACAGUUUUUUGAACAGUAUGAACGAGCAUUGAGGAAUAAAGUUGAGAAGGAGUAUCAAGCAGAUUUCAAGUCAUACUUUCAAAUGGUACCAUGUGCAACAAAGUAUGAAAUGGAGAAGCAAUUUCAUGCAAUUUAUACCAUUUCAAAAUUCAAGGAAUUUCAAGAUGAGUUCAUUGGGAAGAUUUAUUGCGAAGUCAUAUCUGCUUCGGAGGGAUUUUUGGGGACGACGUACGAGGUAAGAGAGGAUGUCAUAAAUGACGAGCGAGUUAAGAAAAGAAUAUUUUCAGUCUCAUUUCGGAGAGAGAACUGUGACAUUAUUUGCAGUUGCCAUUUAUUCGAGUUUCUAGGAAUAAUUUGCAGGCAUGCGAUCUCAGUCUUGAUUCGUAAUGACAUCACAUCGUUGCCGGAGAAAUAUAUGUUGAGGAGAUGGAGGAGAGAUGUUAGUAGAUCCCACACGAGGGUCGCAGUCAUCUACGGUACUCCUAGACAAUUGAGAUAUGACAAAAUGUGUCGAGCUUUUGCCGAGUUGGCAGACCUUGUUGCAGACGAUGAAGAGCAAACACGUGCUAUUAUGGACUGGAUCGAAUUUCAAUCUAAAGAGCUAAGGAUGACAAAGUCUAGAAGUGGAUGUAAUGUUGAUGAGAACAGUAUCUCCUAGCUUUGUUUUGGGCUAUUUAUGAUUAUGCCUUAUUUUCAAUUGGGUUGUAUUAAUGGGCUGGCCUGAGGCCCCCUUCACUUUAGGGUCUUAAUUUUUGUACAAGUUGGCUUGUUUUGAAAGUUGGAAGCCAGACUAUGAAUGAAUGAAAAUGCUUGAUGCACAUGUCUAUCCCCUUUCUCCCUGAGAUUCUUUUUCUUCUGGCCUUCUUCUUCUGCUGCUGCUGCUGCUGCUUUGCUUUUCUUCUGCUGCUUCUCUUCUGCUGAAUACUUCAAUUGACACCACAUCAAUGCAUAAUAUGUUUGCUUGAUUAUAGAUGGCUUCUAAGCCCUGCCAUUGAUAUCAAUAUUGUUGGUAUCAGGCAUUUAUUUUAAGACUUCUAGUGGCUUCAGUGGUCUUUCUUUUUGUUUGUUGUUUUGGACAUCAGGUGGAUCUUGUAAUAAUAUCUUUGACGUGUACUUACUUUCACCUUUUGUUUUACAAAGCAUGUGCAUGGGAACUACAGGGAGCACACUCUUGAGUCUGAUCUUGAAUAUUCAGUGG
rnacentral:lncRNA from 1 species